GCAAGUCAAUUAAGAACAGGUUCUUGUUUUCAAUAACAGCCUGGCAGGAUAAUUAAUAUGCCCUGAGAAACACACAAACAUAUUACAACACAUAGAAACUUUAUAUCCGCCUUGCUUAAUCUGUUUAUGUUUUUAGAAGUUUGGCAUACGAGUUGUGUAAUUAUUUUGAAAUUACAUGCAAGUACUUUGAAAAUCGUCAGUAAUUAUAAUUAAUAUACAAUAAAAGUAUGUAAGUAGUUAAAGACAUUUGAUAUAAAGUGGCUACAUAGCUACCGUUUUAUUUUUUGAGCCCAACAUCUAACAUCUAAAUGUGACUUGGUUUAAUAUUUUGUAUUUAAAACAAUGCCAAUUACUUCAAGUUAAUAUUCAGUUUAACUGCACUGACACACUCAGAUUCAGAUAAUGACACAAACUUUGAAACGCAGAUGCUGAAUUAACUUGAGCAGAAUAAUGACAGUUUUCCAGCAGAAAGUUAAUUUGUUGUUACUUGUUUAUUUCCUGUUGAAACAAUCUGUACUGUACAGUCAAUAUGUGUGAGUGUAUGUUUAUUUUGUGUUGUGUUUUACAGUAGCCAGUAAAGCUCCAUCUGAAACACGAGAUAACAAUAUAAUGGAAUCUAACGGACAAAUUCUGGCGAUUAUCUUUGGGGUUCUGUUUGCUGUCACGCUGCUGGUCUCCUCCGUGUACACAUAUCGACAGAGGAAGAAGUACUCAAAGUACGUUCAUAUCCAUCUCUGAUUCAUCACACUUCAUUUGACUUCAUUCAGUAUUUGUUCAUAAACUUUUAAUACUCUCUGCUUUUUAGAGAGCAGACACACAGUACAAAAGACUAAACACGUUUCUCUUUUGUCCUUUUUUCUCUACAGGUUUAAAAAAGAUUCCAAGCCAAAUGUUAUUUAUAAACCAGCCGCCGUUGAAAAAGACAUAGACCCAACCUCUGUUACUGUAUCAUAAACCACAUUUUAAUUCAGAAACUUGUCUUGUCUUGUUUGAGUGAGACUUUGAAAUAAAUUGUUUGCAAAUUAGUAGAAAUGGCUGCA
ensembl:lncRNA